rnacentral:rRNA from 1 species
UACAGAGGGGGCAAGCGUUAUUCGGAAUUAUUGGGCGUAAAGGGCGCGUAGGCGGCUUGGCAAGUGGAAGGUGAAAUCCCUCGGCUUAACCGAGGAACUGCCCUCCAAACUGCUUGGCUUGAGACCGGGAGAGGUGAGUGGAAUUCCCAGUGUAGCGGUGAAAUGCGUAGAUAUUGGGAGGAACACCAGUGGCGAAGGCGGCUCACUGGACCGGUACUGACGCUGAGGCGCGAAAGCUAGGGGAGCAAACAGG